UCCCUACGGGGUGCACCAGGCGCGAAAACUCUACAAUGCAGGCAACUGCGAUAGGGGAACAUCGAGUGGCGUCCAUAUUGGAUGUCUGUCCCCCAGCCUAAAAAGCUGGGGUUAGCAAGGGCCGGGCAAGACCGGUGCCAGCCGCCGCGGUAAUUCA
rnacentral:rRNA from 1 species